rnacentral:antisense_RNA from 1 species
AGGAAGUGGAGGGACAGGAAGUGGAGAAUCCAGCAGGGGCCAAUGUUGGACAACACUCCUUUGCCAGCUGUGCUCCCCAUGCAACGGGAUGAGGAGAUUUUAAGCCUCUACCAGAAAAACUCAAAUCUGGAGAUAAUUUAAUUUUUCCUGGGUCUCUGCCAGCCAUCUCCAGAGUUUUGUCAAAUUUUCCACCUACUUCCUCUGUGUGUGGAAACUCAGCCUCCAUUUUAGAACUCCAUUCCCAACAGUGGUUCUGCACCCCCACCCAUGUUUUUUUUUGUUUGUUUGUUUGUUUGUUUUUGGUUAUCCUGGAGGUUUUGUGGAUUAAGAUGUGUGAGAUGAGGGGUUUAUAGGGACUGGCUGGAGGUAUGCCCCCCCUUCCACCCACACACCCACACACACAUACACACGCACACGCUGUUGUGCAGAAGAUGUUUCUUGGGUGGCUGAGCAAAGAAUCAGAUACAAGCAAGGAAACGUGUGGCAUCUGGCUACCAUGAGCUGAAGACAAAGCCUACAUGGGGAAAAGUGCAAAACCAGGAGAAUGGGAGAGAAAUGGAGCCACACACUGAUGCUGUUGUGAAAC